rnacentral:rRNA from 1 species
GUGUCAGCAGCCGCGGUAAUACGAACCGUCCAAACGUUAUUCGGAAUCACUGGGCUUACAGAGUUCGUAGGCGGUGGAGAAAGUAGGGUGUGAAAGCCCUCGGCCUAACCGAGGAAUUGCGCCCUAAACUACUUCGCUGGAGGAGGAUAGAGGUGAGCAGAACUGAUGGUGGAGCGGUGAAAUGCGUUGAUAUCAUCAGGAAUACCGGAGGCGAAGGCGGCUCACUGGGUCCUUUCUGACGCUGAGGAACGAAAGCUAGGGGAGCGAACGGGAUUAGAUACCCCGGUAGUCC